AUGGCCGGGAUGUGCCGGCUCCAGCCCCCCGGGGGGUCCCUGACUCUGCUCUGCCACGGGAAUGGAUUCGAUUUUGGGAAUUACGACAUGAUGUGGGCCCGCCAGAGUGCCGGGAAGGCGCUGGAAUGGCUCGCAGGGAUCGACAGCAGUGGCAGCAGCACCCGUUACGCGCCGUCGGUCAAGGGCCGGUUCUGGAUCUCCAGGGACAACGGGCAGAGCUCGGUGACGCUGACCAUGAACAACCUCAAGGACGAGGAUUCCGCCGUUUAUUUCUGCGCCAGAGCUGCGUAUGGUUGGGCUGCUUAUGUUUAUAUCGAGAACCGACCCUUGACCGAUGACGCAUAG